AGUGAACGCUGGCGGUAGGCCUAACACAUGCAAGUCGAACGGCAGCACAGUAAGAGCUUGCUCUUACGGGUGGCGAGUGGCGGACGGGUGAGGAAUACAUCGGAAUCUACUUUUUCGUGGGGGAUAACGUAGGGAAACUUACGCUAAUACCGCAUACGACCUACGGGUGAAAGCAGGGGAUCUUCGGGCCUUGCGCGAUUGAAUGAGCCGAUGUCGGAUUAGCUAGUUGGCGGGGUAAAGGCCCACCAAGGCGACGAUCCGUAGCUGGUCUGAGAGGAUGAUCAGCCACACUGGAACUGAGACACGGUCCAGACUCCUACGGGAGGCAGCAGUGGGGAAUAUUGGACAAUGGGCGCAAGCCUGAUCCAGCCAUACCGCGUGGGUGAAGAAGGCCUUCGGGUUGUAAAGCCCUUUUGUUGGGAAAGAAAGGCAGCAGGUUAAUACCCCGCUGUUCUGACGGUACCCAAAGAAUAAGCACCGGCUAACUUCGUG
rnacentral:rRNA from 1 species